AUUGAACGCUGGCGGCAUGCCUUACACAUGCAAGUCGAACGGUAACGCGGGGCAACCUGGCGACGAGUGGCGAUCGGGUGAGUAAUACAUCGGAACGUGCCCAGUAGUGGGGGAUAGCCCGGCGAACGCCGGAUUAAUACCACAUACGACCUACGGGUGAAAGCAGGGGACCGCCAGACCUUGAGCUAUUGGAGCGGCCGAUGUCAGAGUAGGUUGUUGGUGGGGUAAAAGCCUACCAAGCCGACGAUCUGUAGCUGGUCUGAGAGGACGACCAGCCACACUGGGACUGAGACACGGGCCAGACUCCGACUGGAGGCAGCAGUGGGGAAUUUUGGACAAUGGGCGCAAGCCUGAUACAGCCAUGCCGCGUGGGGGAAGAAGGCCUUCGGGUUGUAAACCGCUUUUGGCAGGGAGGAAGGGCUCUGGGCUAAUACCCCGGGGUAAUGACGGUACCUGAAGAAUAAGCACCGGCUAACUACGUGCCAGCAGCCGCGGUAAUAC
rnacentral:rRNA from 1 species